CGUCGACCAUUAAGCGGCGCAUGUUCGUGUUUCGGCCCCAGAAAGUGGACGGCACCGCGCGGGGCGGGGGGCGGCAGCGCCGCUUCCCGCCAUGGACGGCAUGGAGUUCUUCUUCGAGGAAUCUGCAGCAGGAUCUGGCUGGCUCUCGUUUGCCUGAGCAGGUUCGUGCCGCAGUUGGACAGCGGAGUUUGCUUAAGGGAUCUCGUUACCGGUGAGCAACUGACUGAAGGCGGGACAAGUGGAACAGAGGAUGCGGAGGAGGCUUUGAUUUCUUCUCUGCCGAUGGAUUAUGAAGGGGGCGAAGGAGCUGGUAUGGGGGGUGCGUGUCGUAUGAUCUUGGCAACGAAGGGAUGGGCGAUUCCUGCGAGAUAGGCGGUGCAAAUAUAGUCCCUGAUGCCGCGGACCAGGAUCCAGACGAAGAUGGCGUGGGAGUGUCAAGUGCAAACCAAUCUUCUUGGACCAGGAGAUCAAGCUCGCGCGAUGGAAAUUGCAAUAGGCGGUGUCAUGCCGCGGACUGCACAUCGGUGGUGCAAAUGGCACGUGCUGGAGAAGGCAAAAGAGAGCCUUGGGGCACUGCUUUGCAAAGGGAAGUGAAUUCAAGCCAGAAUUCAGCAAGCUAGUCCACCACAUAGUUAGUAUUGAUGAAUUUGAGAAGGGCUGGGCAUGCAUGAUUGAAAAAUAUGGCCUCCAGACCAAUGCAUUCCUAACCCAGCUUUACAAAGUGAGGGGGAAGUGGGUGAAGCCAUACUUCAUGGGUGUGUUCUGUGCAAAGAUGACAAGUACGCAGCGAAGCGAGAGCGCAAACCACCUUCUGAAAGGGUAUGUACCACCAGGCUGCCCCAUGCAUUUGUUCAACCGGCAAUAUGAGAAGAUGCAAUUUGACGGUAACUCAGAAGAAAGUUACCAGGAGAAAAGGACAAAACUAGGGGGAUUGUCCUGAGGCAAAAUAUCCCAGUCGAGGUACAUGCAUCGCAGGUUUACACCAGAACAAUGUUUGAGAAAUUUGGUGAAGCAUUGUACGUGUGUGGGUCGUAUGAUCUAGUAGAAGUCAAGCCCCAAUUGGAUUACAUUGCUAGGCACAUAAAAUUCCAGUCAAGGGAAAAGUGGUGCAAGAAUGAGUUUGUCAUCUCCGUGAGUGAGACAGCCGAUGAGUUCAGGUGCGAGUGUGGAACAUUUGAGCACUAUGGAAUGGUUUGCAGUCAUGCGCUUAAGGUCAUGAUGCACCUAAAACUGCAUGAGCUCCCUCCGAAACAUGUGCUCAAGCGAUGGACUAGAGAUGCAAGAGAUAUACUACUGCCGGAGUAUUUGCGCUACCAGAAGGACCAUGGGCCCCUGAAGUAUUCUUCUCAUCGACACAACACUUUACACUUGUUGGCAGUGGAUGUGGUUAAGUUAGGUGACAGCAAUGUGGAAGCAUAUGCACUUGCAAUGGAGAAAAUGCGAGAUGUCAAAGUGAUGCUCGAGCCAGUUGCCGCCGUGCGAGAUGGGCUUGGUUUGUCUGAUAGAGAGCUGGCUGCAGAUUCAGCCGGCUCUGGGGUGGGAACAAGUAGCACUUUGGGAGAACUGAAUCUAUGCACACCCUUUCACAAGGAUCAGGUGUGUUUCCAGCGCCGUCCAAGAAACGAUCGGUUGGGCGUCCAACAACUAGCCGCGACAAGGCUCCAUAUGAACAACCAUCGAAGAGGAGCAAAUUCUGUUCUAUAUGUAGAAUUCAUGGGCACAAGAGCACAACAUGCCCUGCCAGAGGGGAUGUGCCAAAGGCACCUAGGAAAUCUCCGCGCUGCUCAAAAUGUGGGUGACAGGCCACAGGAAUAACGCAUGUAGCAACCCGCCUAAAGUCUGAGAAAAUCUGAAUUUUAGUGUCUGUUCGGAGCCCCUCCGCUCCACAACUCUGCCACGGAGCGGAGCGGGCUGCAGUUCAAAAUUUCAGAGCGGGGGAAUUGGUGCUCCGCCAGAUUCGUGGAGCCGGUGGAUUACCAAACAGGCUCUUAGUGUUUGUUUUAGCGAUUGUAUGGAUUUGGCUGUGUGGCACUUUGUUAUUAGAACCCGUAUGUUAUUUGUGUAAAACAUCAAGAGAACGGUCAGCUGCAACA